rnacentral:rRNA from 1 species
UACGGGGGGGGCAAGCGUUGUUCGGAAUUACUGGGCGUAAAGGGCGCGUAGGCGGCCUGCUAAGUCGGAUGUGAAAUCCCUCGGCUCAACCGAGGAACUGCAUCCGAUACUGGCGGGCUUGAAUCCGGGAGAGGGAUGUGGAAUUCCAGGUGUAGCGGUGAAAUGCGUAGAUAUCUGGAAGAACACCGGUGGCGAAGGCGGCAUCCUGGACCGGUAUUGACGCUGAGGCGCGAAAGCUAGGGGAGCAAACGGG